rnacentral:rRNA from 1 species
AUUGAACGCUGGCGGCAGGCCUAACACAUGCAAGUCGAGCGGCAGCGGGAAAGUAGCUUGCUACUUUGCCGGCGAGCGGCGGACGGGUGAGUAAUGUCUGGGAAACUGCCUGAUGGAGGGGGAUAACUACUGGAAACGGUAGCUAAUACCGCAUGACCUCGAAAGAGCAAAGUGGGGGAUCUUCGGACCUCACGCCAUCGGAUGUGCCCAGAUGGGAUUAGCUAGUAGGUGAGGUAAUGGCUCACCUAGGCGACGAUCCCUAGCUGGUCUGAGAGGAUGACCAGCCACACUGGAACUGAGACACGGUCCAGACUCCUACGGGAGGCAGCAGUGGGGAAUAUUGCACAAUGGGCGCAAGCCUGAUGCAGCCAUGCCGCGUGUGUGAAGAAGGCCUUAGGGUUGUAAAGCACUUUCAGCGAGGAGGAAGGCAUCAUACUUAAUACGUGUGGUGAUUGACGUUACUCGCAGAAGAAGCACCGGCUAACUCCGUGCCAGCAGCCGCGGUAAUACGGAGGGUGCAAGCGUUAAUCGGAAUUACUGGGCGUAAAGCGCACGCAGGCGGUUUGUUAAGUCAGAUGUGAAAUCCCCGCGCUUAACGUGGGAACUGCAUUUGAAACUGGCAAGCUAGAGUCUUGUAGAGGGGGGUAGAAUUCCAGGUGUAGCGGUGAAAUGCGUAGAGAUCUGGAGGAAUACCGGUGGCGAAGGCGGCCCCCUGGACAAAGACUGACGCUCAGGUGCGAAAGCGUGGGGAGCAAACAGG